rnacentral:misc_RNA from 1 species
UACGGAGGGUCCAAGCGUUAUCCGGAAUCAUUGGGUUUAAAGGGUCCGCAGGCGGGCCAGUAAGUCAGGGGUGAAAGUUUGCGGCUCAACCGUAAAAUUGCCUUUGAUACUGCUGGUCUUGAGUUACGGUGAAGUGGCUGGAAUAUGUGGUGUAGCGGUGAAAUGCAUAGAUAUCACAUAGAACACCGAUUGCGAAGGCAGGUCACUAACCGCCAACUGACGCUGAUGGACGAAAGCGUGGGGAGCGAACGGG